GGUAGUUCUGUGGACUUUGCAGUGUGGUACCCAGUUCGCUAACAAGUGUCAGGCCCUGUUUCUCACUGUCCACCACACCUCUCUCUCUCUCUGGAGAAGAGCGCUGCAGCAGGAAGUCUGUCACCAGGCCGCUAAGAGAAUCUUAAGGUGCUCACCCGUCCCUCUGAAGGAAAAGGUGCAGCAUUUUAAAAUAGGCUGUUUUAUACCGCGAAUUUCCUACUUCUUGGCAAGUGAUGGAAGCAGUCCUCUGGUCCUCUGUGUGUUAAAUCAUCCAGGCUGCUUGUCCACCCUGUCUGUGGACGCUCCACAGUGUGUGGCCAUCAGCGCACCCGAAUCCCAUGUUGUGUGCUGUCUUGCUCCACAGCUAGCAAUGUGCCUUCCUCUGCUGUUUGUGUCAGC
rnacentral:lncRNA from 1 species